UUCUAACCUAAAUGGAGAGAGGAUUGGCCAUCCUCUUGAAAAGGAAGGAAAUCUCUUUCCUUAUAGGAUUAGGUCAACUUCCUUUGAAAACCCUAAGAAGACCAACCCCAUUCUUUU